rnacentral:rRNA from 1 species
UAAGUAUUCAAAGGUAUAUUACCCGAAAUUAAAAGAUCUAAGUGUAAUAUAAGUUAUUGGGCUGUAUUGUUGUGUUCUGUGGCAUUAGCUACUAAAAUUAUACCUUAGGGGUGAAAGGCCUACAAUUUUAAUAAUAGCUGGAUGAAUGUUAAAUAUAUUAAGUUUAAAAUAAACUUACGAAGUGAUAAGAUUUUGUAAGAUAUAAUUUUUUGUGUGCCAUAUUAGAGCCAAUAGCUAAUAACUACAGGUAAACUUAUAUAUUUUAAAUACUUCUGCAUUUUAACAAUUAUUUAGCAACAUUUUAUUUUAUUUAUUAACCUUUAAUAAGAUAUAUAGUGUACAAAUAAGUAUAUAUAAAAUAAAUUUAAAUUAAGGAACUCGGCAAUCAAAGUGUACGACUGUUUAACAAAAACAUAGCCGGCAGCGAUUAAAUUACCGGUGAUACCUGCCCAGUGAUAAUUUAACGGCCGCAGUACUAUGACUGUGCAAAGGUAGCAUAAUCAUUUGGCUUUUAAUUGAAGUCUGGUAUGAACGGAUGAACGUAUAUAAGCUGUCUCAAUAAUAAAUUUAUUAAAAUUAUUUAUAAGGUGAAAAUACCUUAUAUAGGAAAAAAAGACGAGAAGACCCUUAGAAUUUUAAGAAAAGCCGCAAACUUAUGUGAUGUGAUUUUUGUUGGGGCAACAUUUUUUCAUAUAAACAAAAACUUAAAAGUAAAUAUAACGAAUAAGCUUAAUAAAAUAAAAAUUACCUAAGGGAUAACAGCAUAAUUUUAAGUAAAGAUUGUGACCUCGAUGUUGGACUAGGAAUUAUUAAGGCUAGUCGUUUUAAUAUAAUAGGUUCUGUUCGAACUUUAUUUCCUA